UGAGAAUUAGAACGGAGGACUGUGUGAAGCAUUUUAUGUUAUGUGCAGCAUCCAACAUUAUGAUCGCUAGAAAAGAGGGAUGGAGUCCACAUGACUGGAGACAAUGAUUUUUUCCUUUUCUCUUUUUCCAGAGAUUGAUAGUUGGAUCCUGAUCAUCUGAUCUACACUGGAACAGGACCACAACUUCCCUGAAGACAAUGCUAUGAGCCAAAAGGGAACAGCCUUGAAAUUGGUAUUGUACCUGUUUCCCUGGUCAUCUUUUACAGGAAGACAAACAUGACCUGUCCUUCUUGCCCUGAAGGAGACAAACAACAACUUCAUCUCAGACAUAGGAGAACUGAGACUGAGAAAAGGAGAAGACUUUUCAAAUCACCUUGAGGGACAGAGGCUGAACCAGAACUCUGGACUCCAUGAGCUGUCAUAAAUCCCCUGAAAACUGUCUUAGACACAGGUAAUGACACUACAGAGAGUCUCUUGCACACAGAAGC
rnacentral:lncRNA from 1 species